rnacentral:rRNA from 1 species
GAGUUUGAUCCUGGCUCAGGAUGAACGCUAGCGGCGUGCCUAACACAUGCAAGUCGAACGUGAGGGUGACUUCGGUUGCCUGAAAGUGGCGGACGGGUGAGUAAGACGUAUGGUAACCUGCCUCGGAGUGGGGGAUAACCAUUACAAAUGAUGGCUAAUACCGCAUGGGUUUGUGAAUGU